UUCUUAUUAAUAUAAAAAGUAUAUUUAAUUUCCAAUUAAAAAGUUUAAUUUAAAUAAGAAA
rnacentral:tRNA from 1 species